rnacentral:rRNA from 1 species
AUUGAACGCUGGCGGCAGGCCUAACCCAUGCAAGUCGAACGAGUGGCGGACGGGUGAGUAAUGUCUGGGAAACUGCCCGAUGGAGGGGGAUAACUACUGGAAACGGUAGCUAAUACCGCAUACCAUCGGAUGUGCCCAGAUGGGAUUAGCUAGUAGGUGGGGUACUGGCUCACCUAGGCGACGAUCCCUAGCUGGUCUGAGAGGAUGAACAGCCACACUGGAACUUAGAGACGGUCCAGACUCCUACGGGAGGCAGGAGUGGGGAAUAGUGCACAAUGGGCGCAAGCCUGAGGCAGCCAUGCCGCGUGUAUGAAGAAGGCCUUCGGGUUGUAAAGUACUUUCAGCGAGGAGGCGUUACUCGCAGAAGAAGCACCGGCUAACUCAGUGCCAGCAGCCGCGGUAAUAC